GGGUUGUGAGGUUAAGCGACUAAGCGUACACGGUGGAUGCCCUGGCAGUCAGAGGCGAUGAAGGGCGUGCUAAUCUGCGAUAAGCGCCGGUAAGGUGAUAUGAACCGUUAUAACCGGCGAUACCCGAAUGGGGAAACCCAGUGUGACUCGUCACACUAUCAUUAACUGAAUCCAUAGGUUAAUGAGGCGAACCGGGGGAACUGAAACAUCUAAGUACCCCGAGGAAAAGAAAUCAACCGAGAUUCCCCCAGUAGCGGCGAGCGAACGGGGAGGAGCCCAGAGCCUGAAUCAGCAUGUGUGUUAGUGGAAGCGUCUGGAAAGGCGCGCGAUACAGGGUGACAGCCCCGUACACAAAAGCGCAUGUGCUGUGAGCUCGAUGAGUAGGGCGGGACACGUGGUAUCCUGUCUGAAUAUGGGGGGACCAUCCUCCAAGGCUAAAUACUCCUGACUGACCGAUAGUGAACCAGUACCGUGAGGGAAAGGCGAAAAGAACCCCGGCGAGGGGAGUGAAAAAGAACCUGAAACCGUGUACGUACAAGCAGUGGGAGCCCCACCACCAAAGCAUUUGCUGUACCGCGUUGACGG
rnacentral:rRNA from 1 species